rnacentral:ncRNA from 1 species
AAGAAUGAAGGGCUUCGUUGGCUUUUGGAGUGGUAGCAAAUCUCACCUGGGUAGUAUCACGUGGGCACCUCUGCGCCGCUCAACCCCAUUUUUCAUUAAUUUCCUACUUAUUCCAUAUCGAGAAAACUCGAUUUCAGUUUUUUAUCACGUGUGUUAAAAGCAGUAACCUGAUGGCCAUGCGACUCUCGCCGAAAACAGUUCCAGUCAAAUAGUUGUUGGUACUGCACUUCGAUCAUUCGUCAAAGUGUGAUUUAGGUGUUUUAAGUUUGUUCAUAAAGAGCGAAAACCUGUGUUUUAGUGAAAGGUUAGAAGCUUGCUUUAUCUUGAUUUAUAAAGCGAGUACACACAGUGAAAGUAUAGCCUACCGAUUCUUUUCAUCUAGAUGGUUUUUGGCAAGAAGAGUUAGAAAAGUUACUACAUAGAUAACUUGCUUGUAGCUUAUUAAGUGUCAAUAGUGACGUUGCUUUAU